GCCGUCCGCGUUGAGGUGGGUCCAGCCGGAGGCUUCCAACCGCCGGAUCGCCUCGUCCGGGUCGUGGCGGACGGCG
rnacentral:tRNA from 1 species